rnacentral:rRNA from 1 species
UACGAAGGGGGCUAGCGUUGUUCGGAAUCACUGGGCGUAAAGCGCACGUAGGCGGGUUCUUAAGUCAGGGGUGAAAUCCCGAGGCUCAACCUCGGAACUGCCUUUGAUACUGGGAAUCUUGAGUUCGGGAGAGGUGAGUGGAAUUGCGAGUGUAGAGGUGAAAUUCGUAGAUAUUCGCAAGAACACCAGUGGCGAAGGCGGCUCACUGGCCCGAUACUGACGCUGAGGUGGCGAAAGCGUGGGGAGCAAACAGG